GCAUGUGAUAGAGCAUGUCGCCCGAAAGUGGGUACCGGUUUCGGGAUGACGACAUGCGCAAGAAGAAAGGCUUGAAGCGCGUCGCAUGAUUCCGGUUCGACGCGACGCGCUUCAAGCAUGUCGCCCGGGGCGCGGGACCGAGGAAAGGCAGCGAGACGAUGGGCCAGUUCUUCCGC
rnacentral:ncRNA from 1 species